GGUUGAACGGUGGGGUAACGGGAAACGUUAAUCGACUAACCGAGAAAGUCUCGGUGAUAAGCCGCAGUUGCCUUCAAAGGAGCACGAGGCUGAGGCAAAAGCCGAACAGCCCCGUCGAGGAAAGCGCGAGCCGCCGGAGUCAGAAGCCGGCUAUACCCGUCAAGUAGACCGCAGUAUACCAGAGACAAAAGUCACCGAAAGAAAACGGCGACAGGAACAAGCUUCAUCUCAUCUUCUUCUUCGUGAAAGAUAUUGGAGAGAGAACGAAGAAGAGAGAGA
rnacentral:lncRNA from 1 species